GCACCCAUAGCUCAACUGGCAGAGCAACAGACUCUUAAUCUGCAGGUUGUAGGUUCGACUCCUACUGGGUGCA
rnacentral:tRNA from 1 species